UGAACAAAUAGCUCAGUUGGUAGAGCAACAGACUGUCACUCAGUGGGUUCGAAUCUGUUCAA
rnacentral:tRNA from 1 species